UACGUAGGGUGCAAGCGUUGUCCGGAAUUAUUGGGCGUAAAGAGCUCGUAGGCGGUCUGUCGCGUCUGCUGUGAAAACUCGGGGCUUAACCCCGGGCCUGCAGUGGGUACGGGCAGACUAGAGUGCGGUAGGGGAGACUGGAAUUCCUGGUGUAGCGGUGAAAUGCACAGAUAUCAGGAGGAACACCGGUGGCGAAGGCGGGUCUCUGGGCCGUAACUGACGCUGAGGAGCGAAAGCAUGGGGAGCGAACAGG
rnacentral:rRNA from 1 species